UUUGUAACUAUAGUGAUUUAGAUUAUAUUACAAAGUUGAUUGAUGUUCCCCAAGUGUUGACAUUUUUACCUAUGUAUGUCUGUUGUGUUCACACGCUGUUGUCAAAAUAAUAUUUUUGAUGCGACUGUCAUACAAGUGAAGGGUUUGCUAGCUAUAAAACCAGGUUAAAUUCACCAUUUCUACACAAGAAAAGCCCUGUACCAAG
rnacentral:lncRNA from 1 species